rnacentral:rRNA from 1 species
UACGGGGGGGGCAAGCGUUGUUCGGAAUCACUGGGCGUAAAGGGCUCGUAGGCGGCCAACUAAGUCAGACGUGAAAUCCCUCGGCUUAACCGGGGAACUGCGUCUGAUACUGGAUGGCUGGAGGUUGGGAGAGGGAUGCGGAAUUCCAGGUGUAGCGGUGAAAUGCGUAGAUAUCAGGAGGAACACCGAUGGCGAAGGCAGGUCUCUGGGCCACUACUGACGCUGAGAAGCGAAAGCAUGGGGAGCGAACAGG